GGUGCAUUUUUAGCUCACCUGAGCACGAAGUGCUCAAAGGUGAGCUUUAGUGAUCACCCUGUGUCCGGCGUCCUUCGUCGUCCGGCGUCCGUCCGUCCGUCCGUCCGUCGUCAACAAUUUGACUGUUAACACUCUAGAGGUCACUUUUUUGACCCAAUCUUAAUGAAACUUGGUCAGAAUGUUACCCUCAAUAAAAUCUUGGACGAGUUCGAUAUUGGGUCAUCUGGGGUCAAAAACUAGGUCAUCAGGUCAAAUCAAAGGAAAAGCUUGUUAACACUCUAGAGGUCACAUUUUUGGCCCAAUCUUAAUGAAACUUGGUCAGAAUGUUACCCUCAAUAAAAUCUUGGACGAGUUCGAUAUUAAGUCAUCUGGGGUCAAAAACUAGGUCAUCAGGUCAAAUCAAAGGAAAAGCUUGUUAACACUCUAGAGGCCACAUUUUUGACUAUAUCUUCAUGAAACUUAGUCAGAAUGUUAAACUUGAUGGUCUUUAGGUCAAGUUCGAAUCUGGGUCAUGUCGGGUCAAAAACUAGGUCACGGGGGUCAAAUAAAAGGAAUAGUUAGUUAACACUUUAGAGGCCACAUUUAUGACCAUAUCUUAAUGAAACUUGGUCAGAAUGUUAAUCUUGAUGAUCUAUAGGUCAGGUUUAAAUCUGGGUCAGGUGUGUUAAAAAACUAGGUCACUAGGUCAAAUCAAAGGAAAAGCUUGUUAAGACUCUAGAGGCCAGAUUUAUGACUGUAUCUUCAUGAAACUUAAUCAGAAUGUUAAUCUUGAUGAUCUUUAGGUCAAGUUCGAAUCUGGGUCAUGUGGGGGCAAAAACUAGGUCACCGGGUCAAAUCAAAGGAAAAGCUAGUUAACACUUUAGAGGCUACAUUUAUGACCAUAUCUUAAUGAAACUUGGUCAGAAUGUUGAUCUUGAUGAUCUUUAGGUCAAUAGGUCAGGUGAGCGAUACAGGGCCUUCAUGGCCCUCUUGUUAAU